CACUGAAUAAAACCGGCCCCAAGACCGAUCCCUGGGGCACUCCACUUGAUACCAGCUGCCAACUAGACAUCAAGAUAUUGAUUAUUACCCUCAGAGCCCAAUGCUACAGCCAGUUUUCUAUCCACCUUACAGUCCAUUUAUGCAGUCUGUA